ensembl:misc_RNA 7SK 7SK RNA
GGAUAUGAGGACAAUCUGGAUGCAACAUCUGUCACCCCCAAUUACUGGUUUAUCUGGCUGAUCCGGCUGGCUGGGCGGGUGCCCCUUCCUCCUUUACCGCCUCAUGUGUGUCCCUCCUGACUCGGCUCAGUGGAAGAGGACCACCUUCCCCAAUGGACAAGGACAUUUCCUUGGUCAAGGUAUUCGAGUAUCUGCGCUCCCCUCUAAAACAAGCUCUGUACAGGAUAGUUCCUACUCCUUUUCCCUUUAAUGGCAUGAGUGGACCCCCAAAAUUCCCAGGGUUUACACUCCAU